GCCCCCGUAGCUCAAUGGACAGAGCACCGGACUUCUAAUCCGUAGGCUGUGCGUUCGAAUCGCACCGGGGGCGCCU
rnacentral:tRNA from 1 species